CGCGUCCGUGUCGUGGACGCCCUGACCGUGGACCUCCGGUCCCGGCUACCCUGGCGGCGUGCGUCCUCCCCGGGACGUUCCCUGCGGAAGGUCCCGGGCAGCGCAAAGCCGACAGCCGUCGCAUCCUAGGGAGCCCCUUCAUG
rnacentral:sRNA from 1 species